CCUACGGGUGGCAGCAGUAGGGAAUUUUCCACAAUGGACGAAAGUCUGAUGGAGCAACGCCGCGUGAGUGAAGAAGGGUUUCGGCUCGUAAAGCUCUGUUGGUAGUGAAGAAAGAUAGAGGUAGUAACUCGCCUUUAUUUGACGGUACUUACUUAGAAAGUCCCGGCUAACUACGUGCCAGCAGCCGCGGUAAUACGGAGGUGGCAAGCGUUGUCCGGAGUUAUUGGGCGUAAAGCGAGUGCAGGCGGUUCAAUAAGUCUGAUGUGAAAGCCUUCGGCUCAACCGGAGAACUGCAUCAGAAACUGUUGAACUUGAGUGCAGAAGAGGAGAGUGGAACUCAAGGUGUAGCAGUGGAAUGCGUAGAUAUAUGGAGGAACACUAGUGGCGAAGGCGGCUCUCUGGUCUGCAACUGACGCUGAGGCUCGAAAGCAUGGGUAGCGAACAGGAUUAGAUACCCGAGUAGUC
rnacentral:rRNA from 1 species